GUCGUCUAUUGGUAACAGACGUCUCCUGACCUCGCGAUUUACUUAGACAUGUAUCGAUUAGGUCAGAAAUUUGGACAUAUCAAACUUGAUUCUUCUUAAGAAAAGAAAUCUACUAAAAUUUGAGAAUCAUAUAUUAUAUUGAUCAAACGGAACUAUUCGAAAUUUAAUCAAAACAACACCCGAAAGGAUGGGUUUCAAAAUAAGCUUGUUAUUCGUAUUUGUCAUCUACAGCAUGUUGAGCAUUGUAUACCCACGUAAUACAAAUAUGAAAUCUCGUACAUUUAUUCUUGGAGAUUAUUAUACAAGCAUUAUUAGAAGACCUGCUUUUUGUAAUUAUCAUAAUGACGUUGGUAUAUGCUGCAAAUUGCAGUACCCCUGCACACCCCUGUGGCGAUUUUGGUAUAAUACGAAAGACAAAACAUGUCAAUCUUUUAUAUAUAGUGGUUGUGGAGGAAAUCCAAAUAAUUUUCAUUCGCGGGAAACGUGUAUGAUAUGGUGUCGUGAAGAUCGUUCAUAAUUCUAGAUGCACCUUUGAUGUAAAAUUGUUAAGAAUUUUCCAUAUAUUGAUAUGUAUUUAUAAUAGUUCAAUAUUGACUUUAAAUAGAAAUAAGCACUAAAUGGAAGAUUCUGUUAAGUUUUUAUAAAAUGCUUGUAAAAGUGUUUUAUUUUUACAAUAAAUGACUGUAAUAAAAUAAAAUUUACAGAUUUGUUUAUAAAAUAUGUAAGAAUAUUUGUAUAAAUAAAAAGAAGCACUU